CAGCAGCCGCGGGAAUACGUAGGUCCCGAGCGUUGUCCGGAUUUAUUGGGCGUAAAGCGAGCGCAGGCGGUUAGAUAAGUCUGAAGUUAAAGGCUGUGGCUUAACCAUAGUACGCUUUGGAAACUGUUUAACUUGAGUGCAAGAGGGGAGAGUGGAAUUCCAUGUGUAGCGGUGAAUGCGUAGAUAUAUGGAGGAACACCGGUGGCGAGAGCGGCUCUCUGGCUUGUAACUGACGCUGAGGCUCGAAAGCGUGGGGAGCAAACAGGAUUAGAUACCCCCGUAGUCCCUGUCUCUUAUACAC
rnacentral:rRNA from 1 species